rnacentral:lncRNA from 1 species
GAGUUGCAAAUGGGCUGAUUUUCUUCUACUUGAUGAAGCUCUAAGGACUAACACUUGGGAUCUAUUAGCAGCUAUGUUUUGCUUGUUGUAGAGUGCCCAUUUACAGUGCAUUAUAGGGAGCCUACUUAAGUAAUGUGCUGAAUAAUUCUUUAUAUGUUCUACUCAGAGACAGUUCAUGGAAAAUCUUUUAUAACUUGUCAGCGGGCCAUCACAGUAGGUGAUAUGCCGUCAAGUCCAAGAGGCUCACCAUUUCAACAAAACCAGUUUACAACUGGUGAUCACCCCUACCUUGCUGAAUAAUCCUCCACUGAUGGCCACCGUGAACACGGGAGUCAGACUAUGUCCAUCACAUGGAUCAGAUUCCCCAGGCACCUCGUACAAUUGAGCACUUGAAUUGCAAAUCUCAACUUCUAAUGACAGCUCCUCCUGUCCAAUUUAUUUUAACUCUGAUAUCAACUAUUUCUCCUGUACCCCUUGUCUUAGAAUGCUUACAUUUUCAAUUUUUCAAUAAAAAUGCAUAAUCUUCCCCAGCAAA